AUCCACAUUUAUGACAGAUACAGAGAUAGCUAACUUUGUUUACAAACUUUAUAUUUUCCAUAAGUAUUUAUAGAGUAUAUCAAUAAAUCUGUGUCUUUAUAAUAAAAUCGAAACACAAUAUUUUAAAAUACCCAACAUCAGCCGCUCAAAGCGUUAUAUUAAAGUGUACGCAAAUAAAAGUGGAAAAUUAAACACGAACUGAAGUUUAAAAAAAUACCAUUACGUAUGAUUACGAAUUAAAACAUUCAGUGAUUGAUACAAAUCCAGUGGGAGUAACGAGGAAACAAUUUAUUCCAUAUUCGAGGAACUCGUAAAUCAGAGUAUUUACCUGAUGUGGCAUGAUAAUUAUAAUAAAAUAAGGGGUACUUAUUCAUUCCUUACCUUUUAAAUUCCAAUCAUUCCUGAACAAAGCAACAAUGUCGGGAUACGGGCCGGACGUCAAGGUCCGCAUGGUAGAAGACUUCUGUGGCGUCGGAAUGUGCUGUCUCAUGGUGAUGGUUCGCUUCUGCAUGACUGUGGCGGCCAUGAGCGAACACAUCCUACGAAUGUUCCUCCAAAUGGUCUACAACCUCUUCGCCACUUGCUUGCAGAUCUUAGCUAUUCUCCCCCUAUGCUGCGUAUUCGCUCUGACAUCUGGACUACGAGGGUUCAUCUGUUCUUUAUCUGGCACAACCGGUAUUUGGAGUUCUAUUGGCUUCUUCUUUAUGAUAUAUCUGGUUUAUAAACUACUAGUGGCUAUGGAUGAAGACAACAUCAAGGGGGUUAUUAAGUCGAUGCGGGAUUUGUGCUAUACAAAGGACUUUGAGAGCGAUACGACACUAGAUUCCGUUCCGGGCACAGAAUAAUAAUUAGUAGUCCGUGCAGUGAAGUUAGUUAUUUAUAGUUGGAGUGAGAAUUGUGAUCAACGUCGGCGCGUGACGUGUUAACUUAUUCAAAACUAGUUUUGCGUCAUUGCAAUUCAUUGCAUAGUAUGUUGGUUUUCAUUAUUUACGUAAGAUUGUUUUAUAAGUAUUUUAGUAGGUAAUUAACUGUUUCUAAGAUUUCCUAUUUAUAAACUUUUAACCA